CGUCUAUAUACGUAUAGCAUAUCAAUAAGCGGAGGAAAAGAAACUAACAAGGAUUCCCUUAGUAACGGCGAGUGAAGCGGGAAGAGCUCAAAUUUGAAAUCUUCAAGGUUCUACCUUGACGAAUUGUAGUUUAAAGAAGUGUUUUCUGUUGGAGUUUUGGUAAAAGUUCUUUGGAAAAGGACAUCAUAGAGGGUGAGAAUCCCGUAUUUGACCAUUAUCUCCAGCUUUGUGAUACACUUUCAAAGAGUCGGAUUGUUUGGGAAUGCAGUCCAAAAUGGGUGGUAAAUUUCAUCUAAAGCUAAAUAUUGGCGAGAGACCGAUAGCGAACAAGUACCGUGAGGGAAAGAUGAAAAGAACUUUGAAAAGAGAGUUAAACAGUACGUGAAAUUGUCAAAAGGGAAGCGUUUGACACCAGUGUUGUUUUUCCGAAAAUCAAUUACGAAUGGCUUGAUUUUGUGUUGUAUUGACCUUAUCAGCUUUCUGCACUUUUUUCGAGUCUUUCUUAAUGCACUUUUUGGUUAACAAGUCAACAUCAAUUUCUUUUGUUGUAAAAGAGUAUUCGGAAGGUGGCUUUCUUUUCGGAGAAAGUGUUUAUAGCCCUAUACUUCUACAAUCGGAGAGAUUGAGGUCUGCAGCGUAGAUCCUUCGGGGUUAGAUACAUUUGUGCUAAGUUAUAGCUUUUCAUAGACAACUUGUUGACUAUGUUUAGUCUUGUAGCUUACUCGCUUAUGCUAUUUUACCUACGCUUAGGAUGUUGACUGAUAUGUAGUCGUA
rnacentral:rRNA from 1 species